AGCGAACGCUGGCGGCAGGCCUAACACAUGCAAGUCGAGCGCCCCGCAAGGGGAGCGGCAGACGGGAGAGUAACACGUGGGAACGUACCCUUUGGUUCGGAACAACCCAGGGAAACUUGGGCUAAUACCGGAUAAGUCCGUAAGGAGAAAGAUUUAUCGCCGAAGGAUCGGCCCGCGUCUGAUUAGCUAGUUGGUGAGGUAACGGCUCACCAAGGCGACGAUCAGUAGCUGGUCUGAGAGGAUGAUCAGCCUCACUGGGACUGAGACACGGCCCAGACUCCUACGGGAGGCAGCAGUGGGUAAGAUUGGACAAUGGGCGCAGGCCUGAUCCAGCCAUGCCGCGUGGGUGAUGAAGGCCCUAGGGUUGUAAAGCCCUUUCGGCGGGGAAGAUAAUGACGGUACCCGCAGAAGAAGCCCCGGCUAACUUCGUGCCAGCCGCCGCCGUAACAC
rnacentral:rRNA from 1 species